GACGAACGCUGGCGGCGCGCUUAACACAUGCAAGUCGAGCGAUAAAACUUUAACAGAACCGUUCGGGGCGAAGGCAAAGGGGAGUGGCGGCGGAGGGGGGAGUAACACGUAAGUAAGCUGCCUUAUACGUAGGGAUAGCCUCGGCAAGCCGGGACUAAUACCUAAUAAAAUCAUAAUAACACAUGUCAGGACGAGCAAAACUCCGCGGGUCUACGAGGGGCUGGCGUCCCAUUGGCUAGUGGGGAGGGCAAAGGCCAACCAAGGCGACGGUGGGUAGCCGGCCUGAGAGGGUCAACGUCCACAUGGGAACUGAGCAACGGUCCAAACUCCUGCGGGAGGCAGCAGUGGGGAACAUUGCGCGAUGGAGGGAACCAGGAUGCACCGGCGCCGGAUGAACGAAGAAGGCUUUCGAGCCGUAAAGUUUUGUUAUAUGGGAAGUUAAUGACGGUACCUGAAGAAAAAGCCCCGGCUAACUACGUG
rnacentral:rRNA from 1 species